rnacentral:lncRNA from 1 species
GAAUAUUAUAUGUAUGUCUGAAAUACUUCAUCUGACUUUCAUCUUAUAGUCAUUUGGUUGAAGAUCAGCAGUGGGAAUGCCAUCAGUCAACUUUUUAAUAAGCCAUUUUUAGUCUUUGAAAACUAAAUGUUGCCUUGAAAUUUAACAAUAAUUAUAAGUUGGGAAGUCCAUAUGGGAAACAAAAACUGACUAUAUUCUUAGAUCAUUAUAUAUGAUUAAUUCAAUUUUAAGUACACAAUGUGAUUAUGGCCAUAGUUGGUACAACAAUUUCAGGUUUCCAUUGAUGUCUGUUUUGAAAAUUAUGUAUUUAUAGAAUUAAAACAGUUAAUUAUGUACUUUUGAUGUCACAAGAAAUGUAGUUGCGGCAUCAUGGAAAGUGACCAUCUAUGUGUUUUGUAAAAUAUAUGCAAGUUUUGGACCCACAUACAUGAUGCCAUGCAAGAACCAACCAAUUUACUACAAUGUUUGUCUCAAGUUGAUAUAUUUGUGGUUCUUAAUUUUUGUUUACAUGUUUCUGGUCAAAUUAUGAAAUGAAAGAACUUUGUAUAGAAAAAAACAGUUACAUCAGCACAAAGUUAGUAAUUUAUUUGCAC